GUGUUUUUUUUUUGUUGGUCGACAACCGCAUUGGGUUUUGCUCAGUUUCGUUCGCUCUUGGGGUCGGUGUUGUUGCUAGAUCUCUGCGCGCGGGGUCGAGCCUGUCGUGAGAAUAGCGCGAGAAAGGUUUGGUUUUGACUGAUUUCGAGAAAUGGGGUUCUCGAUUCUUGCAGGGAUUGAAGCUGCUUCGCCGCAUUUCCGUGGUUGCGUGUUGGGAAAUUUCGCGUUUUGACUUUCUCUCUCUCUCUUCUGUGUUGGGUACCUUUGCCAUUGCCGCUCUCUUGAUUCGAUGUGAUGGUGUGAUCUUUCGCAAUCAUUUGGAGGUGUUUUGGUCGAAAGUUUCUUUCUUGGGGAGUGUCCGCACCUGAUUUCGCUGUUGCAUUCGAUUCGAGCCAGUCUUUAGAGUUUGGUGCCCAUUUGAGUCUUUUUGUGUUUCCCCCGCAAAAAAGAGAACAAGAUGUCGUCGUCGAAUCCGAACGAGCCGUUGAUCCGAGAGUCCUCUUCUAGGAAGCUCCCUGAUUUCAAGCAAUCGGUGAAACUGAAGUAUGUGAAGCUCGGAUAUCAUUAUCUCAUAACCCAUGGAAUGUACCUCUUUUUGACCCCUCUUGUUGUUGUCAUUGCUGCACAACUCUCCACAUUCUCGAUCCGGGACCUCUAUGACCUUUGGGAUCAUCUGCGGUUCAAUCUCAUCUCGGUGAUCCUAUGUUCGACCCUUCUCGUGUUCCUGUCUACCCUUUACUUCCUCACGCGCCCUCAACCUGUUUAUCUGGUCGAUUUCUCUUGUUAUAAGCCGGACAAUGAAAGGAAAUGCACUAGGCAGAUUUUCAUGGAGAGGUCGCAAUCGGCGGGUACAUUCACAGAAGAGAAUCUUGAGUUUCAGAGGAAGAUUCUUGAGAGGUCGGGACUGGGGGAGUCAACUUAUCUUCCGGAGGCCGUUCUAAGUGUACCUCCGAACCCCUGUAUGGCAGAAGCAAGAAAGGAGGCCGAAAUGGUAAUGUUUGGCGCUCUCGAUCAACUGUUUGAGAAGACAUCUUUGAAACCAAAAGACAUUGGGAUCCUCAUUGUCAAUUGUAGCUUGUUCAACCCAACCCCAUCUCUAUCUGCAAUGGUCAUCAAUCGUUACAAGUUGAGAGGGAAUAUCAUCAGCUAUAACCUCGGUGGAAUGGGAUGCAGCGCUGGUUUGAUUUCGAUUGAUCUGGCCAAGGACCUCCUCCAAGUGCAUCCAAAUUCUUAUGCCUUGGUCAUUAGCAUGGAGAACAUAACUCUAAACUGGUACUUUGGAAAUGAGAGGUCGAUGCUGGUGUCGAACUGCUUAUUCAGGAUGGGAGGAGCUGCAAUUUUGCUAUCCAACAAAAGAUCCGACUGCUGGCGCUCCAAGUACAAAUUGGUGCACACUGUUCGGACCCACAAAGGUGCAGACGAUAAGUGCUUCUCUUGUGUAACUCAAAAGGAGGAUCCUACAGGAAGGAUCGGAGUUUCUCUAUCCAGGGAUUUGAUGGCAGUGGCUGGAGACGCCCUGAAGACAAACAUUACAACAUUGGGUCCUCUUGUGUUGCCUAUGUCCGAACAGUUGCUGUUCUUUGCGACUCUGGUCGGAAAGAAGCUUUUCAAAAUGAAAUUGAAGCCAUACAUCCCAGAUUUCAAGUUGGCCUUCGAGCAUUUCUGUAUUCAUGCUGGAGGAAGAGGAGUGCUCGAUGAACUAGAGAAGAAUCUGCAGCUUUCAGAUUGGCACAUGGAACCUUCGAGGAUGACACUUAAUCGGUUCGGCAACACAUCGAGCAGCUCUCUUUGGUAUGAACUCGCUUACAGUGAAGCCAAAGGAAGGAUCAGGAAAGGGGACAGGACAUGGCAGAUAGCUUUUGGUUCGGGAUUUAAGUGCAACAGCGCUGUUUGGAAGGCUCUUCGCACCGUGAAUCCUGCGAAAGAGAAGAAUCCAUGGAUGGACGAGAUCCAUCAGUUUCCAGUGGAGGUCCCGAAGGUCUCGGCCAUCUAGAGUUCAAAGUGCGAUCUCUGCGCCUCUAUGUUCAAUGUGAUCGUAGAUGCUCACGGGAAAUUCUCCUUCUCACAUGGAUCUCAUCUGUUUUGGAUGCACGGGAAUGUGAAAGGUGGGAGCAUAUUCUCGGGACACCAUUCCAGAUGAAGAAUUCGAUCCCUAGGCCAUUUAUGACCAGGGGAGAGAAGUUAGUUGUCGAGUGGAUUUUCAUGUUCUGUUCUUUUUCAUGGAGACAGAGAAUAUAGGCAACUCAGCAUUUGAUAUCGAGGGUCGAUUCAUUAUGCACGGCUUCACUGUCGAGGAUCCCGAAUCUUCGACAUCGAAUGUAAAGUCUCGCUCCUUUACGAUAGGUUUCUAAGCGUGAACGCGCCUAUUAUGGGUCGAAUCAAGCGGGAUCGAUGCCCACUUCAUCCGCCGCUAGAACAUUCGCUUGAUGGCGCCACCGAAGCACCCAUUGCCCACCGGGCAAGCCCGUAAUCGCAGCCCCACAAGGUGCAAGUAGGGAAGUCCGAGAGUGGCGAUACACGUAGCCCAGACUCGUCCUUUGCGGAGUAACCAAGAUUUACUUAGAUCGAGGAUAAACUGGGGACUCGAACUGGUGACUUUCGGCUUGCAAACCAAGUCUUUGAUCACUCGAUCAAUCACCUGGCUGGUUUUCUGUUGGAUUGUGCACAGGGCUUUCAUCUGUACGCAGUGGUCAAUCGUUCUUAUUAACUUCGUCACCAAACCACGUCCAUCUAGCGAAGAAGUUUGUGACGUUGCGUCCGAAGUGUCCAUGCAUGAGCUAAUGGAGAACGGGUCACGAGCUCAUCGACCACCAGAGCAAGAUUUUGAUGGAGACAUCGUAAUUGUAAAAGGAUAUCGGAUUUCUUUAAACUUAGAAUACUCUACUUAUCAACA